rnacentral:rRNA from 1 species
GCCAGGAGCAUAGCUGGGUAGCUACGUGCGGACGGGAUAAGCGCUGAAAGCAUCUAAGCGUGAAGCCCCCCUCAAGAUGAGAUUUCCCAAUUAGUAAGACCCCUUGAAGACGACGAGGUAGAUAGGUUGGAGGUGGAAGUGCAGCAAUGCAUGGAGCUGACCAAUACUAAUCGGUCGAGGGCUUAUCCUA